GACGAACGCUGGCGGCGUGCUUAACACAUGCAAGUCGAACGGAAAGACCCUGCUUUUGUGGGGUGCUCGAGUGGCGAACGGGUGAGUAACACGUGAGUAACCUGCCCUUGACUUUGGGAUAACUUCAGGAAACUGGGGCUAAUACCGGAUAGGAGCUCCUGCUGCAUGGUGGGGGUUGGAAAGUUUCGGCGGUUGGGGAUGGACUCGCGGCUUAUCAGCUUGUUGGUGGGGUAGUGGCUUACCAAGGCUUUGACGGGUAGCCGGCCUGAGAGGGUGACCGGCCACAUUGGGACUGAGAUACGGCCCAGACUCCUACGGGAGGCAGCAGUGGGGAAUAUUGCACAAUGGGCGGAAGCCUGAUGCAGCAACGCCGCGUGCGGGAUGACGGCCUUCGGGUUGUAAACCGCUUUCGCCUGUGACGAAGCGUGAGUGACGGUAAUGGGUAAAGAAGCACCGGCUAACUACGUA
rnacentral:rRNA from 1 species